rnacentral:rRNA from 1 species
GUGAGGAAUAUUGCGCAAUGGAGGCAACUCUGACGCAGCCAUGCCGCGUGCAGGAAGAAGGCGCUACGCGUUGUAAACUGCUUUUAACCGGGAAGAAACCCCAGGACGUGUCCUGGGUUGACGGUACCGGAGGAAUAAGCACCGGCUAACUUCGUGCCAGCAGCCGCGGUAAUACGAAGGGUGCAAGCGUUAUCCGGAUUCAUUGGGUUUAAAGGCUGCGUAGGCGGAGCGUUAAGUCAGUGGUGAAAUCCUGCAGCUUAACUGUAGACUUGCCAUUGAUACUGGCGCUCUUGAGUGCGCUUGAAGUGGGCGGAAUGUGCCGUGUAGCGGUGAAAUGCUUAGAUAUGGCACAGAACACCAAUUGCGAAGGCAGCUCACUAAGGCGAUACUGACGCUGAGGCACGAAAGCGUGGGGAUCGAACAGGAUUAGAAACCCGGGUAGUCC